rnacentral:rRNA from 1 species
GCAUAACGCGAAGAACCUUACCAGGCCUUGACAUCCAAUGAACUUUCCAGAGAUGGAUUGGUGCCUUCGGGAGCAUUGAGACAGGUGCUGCAUGGCUGUCGUCAGCUCGUGUCGUGAGAUGUUGGGUUAAGUCCCGUAACGAGCGCAACCCGUUGUCCUUAGUUACCAGCACGUCAUGGUGGGCACUCGUAAGGAGACUGCCGGUGACAAACCGGAGGAAGGUGGGGAUGGACGUCAAGGUCAUCAUGGCCCUUAGGCCUGGGCUACACACGUGCUACAAUGGUCGGUACAGAGGGUUGCCAAGCCGCGAGGUGGAGCUAAUCUCACAAAACCGAUCGUAGUCCGGAAUCGCAGUCUGCAACUCGACUGCGUGAAGUCGGAAUCGCUAGUAAUCGCG